UACUACGGUAGUGAAGUCAUUGAUGCCAUGCUUCCAGGAAAAGCCUCUAAGCUUCAGAUUGUAAGGAAUCGUACCCCAAACCGACACAGGUGGUCGGGUAGAGAAUACCAAGGCGCUUGAGAGAACUCGGGUGAAGGAACUAGGCAAAAUGGUACCGUAACUUCGGGAGAAGGUACGCUCUCGACGGUGAAGUCCCUCGCGGAUGGAGCUAUUGAGAGUCGCAGAUACCAGGUGGCUGCAACUGUUUAUUAAAAACAC
rnacentral:rRNA from 1 species